GCCCUUGGAUGAGCCCGCGGCCUAUCAGCUUGUUGGUGGGGUAAUGGCCUACCAAGGCGACGACGGGUAGCCGGCCUGAGAGGGUGAUCGGCCACACUGGGACUGAGAUACGGCCCAGACUCCUACGGGAGGCAGCAGUGGGGAAUAUUGCACAAUGGGCGGAAGCCUGAUGCAGCGACGCCGCGUGGGGGAUGACGGUCUUCGGAUUGUAAACCCCUUUCAGUAGGGACGAAGCGAGAGUGACGGUACCUGCAGAAGAAGCACCGGCCAACUACGUGCCAGCAGCCGCGGCCGAAGGGC
rnacentral:rRNA from 1 species